rnacentral:rRNA from 1 species
AUUGAACGCUGGCGGCAGGCCUAACACAUGCAAGUCGAACGAGUGGCGAACGGGGGAGAAAUGUCUGGGAACCGCCCCGAUGGAGGGGGAUAACUCCUGGAAACGGUAGCUAAUACCGCAUACCAUCGAUUGUGCCCAGAUGGGAUUAGCUAGUAGGUGGGGUACCGGCUCCCCGAGGCGACGAUCCCUAGCGGGUCUGAGAGGAUGACCGGUAACACUGGAACUGAGACACGGUCCAGACUCCUACGGGAGGCAGCAGGGGGGAAUAUUGCACAAUGGGCGCAAGCCUGAUGCAGCCAUGCCGCGUGUAUGAAGAAGGCCUUCGGGUUGUAAAGUACUUUCAGCGAGGAGGCGUUACUCGCAGAAGAAGCACCGGCUAACUCCGUGCCAGCAGCCGCGGUAAUUC